UUCUGCAACAUAAUUCUCCUCUUUGGUAACGACACUCAACUUUCUCAACGAGCUUGUAAAAAAAAAAUACAAAAAAAAAAAAAAAAUACGUUGAACUAGGACGACAAAAAUAACAAAGCCGAAUCACGAGGAUUAAAUUCCAUUUUCAUGACUGUGCGCCCUGUGCUAUUUAUCAACAGAGGAAAAACGAGGGAAUCGCGGGAGCAGAUGGUGGCGCCACUAUUAAUAAAAAUAAUACAUAACCUGUAUGUGUCGCGAAACAACCUCGUGAUCGUCGUGAACGCGAAAAACAGUGGGGUAUUAACACCAGUUUAUGUAAACGGGAAAGAGACAAGAGAGUUUCGAAAAUAGUCGUUCGCGACCCACCACCGCGUACGCAUUUAGACGGCCGCGCUAAACUUAGAUUGUUUUCUGAACAAACGGGUUAAGAGGGGGCCCGGAGAAGUGUAUGACACGGUGGAAAACGCUUGGAAAGAAACACGUUUAUACGAAGCGGCUCGAUUAACCGGAGGAGGGAUGCGUCUAGGAUGGAGAGAGGUCGUAAGUGGGCAUUGAAACCGAACAAAUGGAAGGUGUUUCUUGGAAUUUCUUGGAUGGACUUAACGGAGAAACCGUGGUGACAUUUUAGCUGGUAUAAAACGAGAUCGUAAUGCUGGAGGAGAGAAUUAAAAAAAAAAAAAAAAGGAAGGAAAGAGAAAAGGAUGUUGUCUGGAAAAGCUGUCUUACGUAUCUUUUAUGUUUUAUAUUGUUCUUACGUUCUUGUUCAUUUUCAGAUAAACGAGAGACAUUAUGGAUGAGACGGGAUGAGAGGAGACGACUCGAUUCGACUCCGUUAUGGAUAAUCUUGAAAUCAGAAUUCGAGGAGGAUGAUAACUUCGAAAUUGAAGAAUCUUGGUCGGGGUAGAUUCAGAAUGGAGGAAAUUUUGUUUGAAAAUGCUUUG